AGGAGUAGUGGGAGUCUCAGCACAAGCGAAGUAUCACACAGCUAUGUUACAAUGCUGCCGCCCAUCCCAUGUGUUCCCUAUUAAGGGUUAAUAAGUAUAUAGGGGGGUAUAUAAACAAAUACCCCUCUCUGUCUCACUAGAGAUAUCUUUGCCAGAAGCUCAAGGAAGCAAGGUGAAGGACCCGCUUUAGGGGGGGGGGGUCUGCCUUGACGUUGGCAGGUGGGCAUUCCCUCCAAUGGCCAUUGGAGCAACUUAAAUGACCUCCAUUUGUUUCAAUAUACAUAGGGAUUCAGGAGAGCGCAGGUAACUUUUUGUAUUUUAAUGUUUUAUUGUAUGCAUUGGGGUUGAUGUAUACAGUAACCGUUGCUGCCGCCCCGGGGUUGUGGGAGUUUGAGAACAAGGAUUAAUUUUGACACAGAGAGCAGUAGAGACAAUGGUAAAACAGGAGAGAGAGCGUAAUAGAAAGAAAGAGUGCAAGAGCGAGAGAAAGUGAGGGAGAGACAGAGAGAGAGAGAAUGUAGUAGACAGAGAGAGUGCGAGAGAGAGAUAAAGUGAGGGAGAGACAGAGAGAGAGAGCGUAGUAGACAGAGAGAGUGCAAGAGAGAGAAAGUGAGGGAGAGACAGAGAGCGUAAUAAACCAAGAGAGUGCAAGAGAGAGAGAAAGUGAGGGAGAGAGAGAGAGAGCGUAGUAGGCAGAGAGAGUGCAAGAGCGAGAGCAUAGUAGGCAGAGAAAGUACAAGAGAGAGAGAAAGUGAGGGAGAGACAGAGAGAGAGCGUAGUAGGCAGAGAAAGUGCAAGAGAGAGAGAAAGUGAGGGAGAGACAGAGAGUUUAAAUUAGACUCCAGCUCUCCUAGUAUAAGUUCCCGUUUGGCGGUUUGAAACGCUGGGAGCUUGGCUUUACCCGUCACAUUGUGUAAUGUCUGGGCUUAUCCCCUUCCUGCCAUUGAAUGUUUAUUGAGUAACUGAACGACUGACACCCCCAUGUAGGAUGUGAGCGCUCCCCAGAAUUUCUGACAUUCUCAUUCUGCAUUGCUGAGCAAUAGAUGUCAGAUUUCACAGCACAGUGACUGGGAAACACACGUUACAGACUUUAUUUAAGGCUCCUUCUCUUCUACACUUCUUAUCUGAGCAUGAACCAUCAUCAUUCUAACAGUGGGGCAGUUACUAUGGAAACCAGUGCUUGAUUGCCCCCAUUGGAUAUGUACCCACCAAUAAACUCACAAGCCUUGUGCAGUAUGAAUGCCAACAAUGAGAAUAACACUGUGGCUGUAUCGUCAUCAUUGAAUUACACCCUUUCCCAAUUCUGGUGGGUGGAGGGUAUUAAG